CCCUCACAUUUCUGCUCCUUUCACUUGAACUUCCAACCUUGGCCUCAAACCCACAAAGAAGAGAAGGAAAAAAGAAAUGGCAACCACCAUGGCCGCUGCAUCAACCGUCAUAGGCCUCGGGUCUUCCUCAUUGUCCCCUACUCGCUCCUCUUCCUCAAAGAGGACACACCUCGCUUCAGGUACGUAUAAAGCUUAAGUCUUAGCCGAUUUGAGACAUCUAUACCGUUGAUCCAUUGAGUUAUAAUGGAGAUGUUUGAUACCCAGGAUUUGUGAAGGCCCCAGUGGCGCCCAGGAACCCCCUGAUGCAAGCGAAAGCUUGUGGAGGAAAGUUUACUUGGUAACUAAUCAAUUACUCCUUGUAUAAAUUGAUCGAGAUCCAUGUUUUGGGCUUAGAGUUAAUGACUGAAUCCUGAUGAUGGAUGGGGUUUGGAUGUGUUGGAUGAUAGCUUUGAGAGAGAUUGGCUUCGGACGGAUCUGAACGUGAUUGGGUUUGGGCUGAUAGCGUGGUUGGCACCUUCAAGCAUACCGGCCAUCGAUGGCAACAGUCUCACCGGCCUUUUCUUUUCCAGCAUUGGAACCGAGCUCUCUCACUUCCCUACUGGACCUGCUCUCACUUCUCCCUUUUGGUCAGUUCAUUUUCCAUCUCUUCCUACUUUUUCCUCCUAUGUUAUGGCUAAUAUAGGGACCUCUCAAUGUUCAAUUUUGCUCCUAACCAUCCACCAAAUUAAUUGUUUACCAUUAAAUAUGUAAACUUGGCACAUAUGCCAAAGAAGACCUUCCUCAUUCAACUCGUACCGGUAACACUCUGGCAAAAUUCUGGGCCUGAGGCCCCCAUGAAUUAUAGAUUGCACCAUUCUAAAGAAGCCCAAACUUCAACAAACCUAAGCCUAUGUCCAGCCCAAGACCCUGUGUUUGCCCAUUUAUAAUACCAUUACGAAGCCCGGCCCUACGCAUGCAAACGGGUCAAGCCUUACCCCAU
rnacentral:lncRNA from 1 species